GCAUAUAUGUAUUUUUACAUUUCAUGGUAGCCUAUUUAGGUAUAUCCACCUUAUUCCUAAUUUAAAAUGAACUAACAGCAGCAGAAAAGUCAAAGGACAGCCGACGACAGCCUUUCAACCUGAGUCAAAAACCAGUGAACGUAACUCUGAUUGGCUGAGGCAGCAUAUCGUCAUAAUCCAACCUGUAACGUCAGCCACUCUGAUUGGCGGAGGCAACGUGCCAGGCAUGUGGCGUGUUUUUUUAAGCAGAAAGUAACUACACAGAUAUUCAGCCUGCUUCGCCGUCAUGAUCGCUGGGGAACCCAUCUUUUCCUCUAAAUUGAAGGGGCUGUUAGGAGUGAGGUGUCCUUCGCUGAUGGGAGAAAAAAACACCUAAAUAAGAUGACUUUGAGCGUGAGACAGUGGUGAAAACGCCAAAGAGAACUGGAACAUGGCAUG